rnacentral:tRNA from 2 species
AGCCCUGUGGUGAAUUAACAUGUUGAAUUGCAAAUUCGAAGAAGCAGCUUCAACUCUGCCUGGGCUU